rnacentral:rRNA from 1 species
GACGUAGGGCGCGAGCGUUGUCCGGAUUUAUUGGGCGUAAAGAGCUCGUAGGCGGCUUGUUGCGUCGGCUGUGAAAACCCAUGGCUCAACCGUGGGCUUGCAGCCGAUACGGGCAGGCUAGAGUUCGGUAGGGGAGACUGGAAUUCCUGGUGUAGCGGUGAAAUGCGCAGAUAUCAGGAGGAACACCGGUGGCGAAGGCGGUUCUCUGGGACGGUACUGACGCUGAGACGCGAAAGCGUGGGGAGCGAACAGG